UCUUUGGGAUAGGAAUUCUUCAGAGGUUGCUUCUGCAUAAAAAAAAAUAUUUAAAAAUUGAAAUCACAGCUAUUUAUGUUAAGAUUAUUUUCACAAACUAUAAACUUGAGUUUUGCUUGUUUUGACACUAUCAGUUUUAAGUAUUGUAGUGCAGCUGUUGUUCCUGCUGGGCUGAACCUGACAGUUUCAGACCUAGAAGAGAAAGUUACUACUAAAGGGGAUUUUUAUAGAACGUGGAUGCCCAGAUCCACAGUUGCCAUCCUGAAGAUUUCUGCUGUUGAAGACAUUGAAGACUAAGAACAUUGAAGACCAAAGGACCAUAUGGAUUUUUGUUUCACUUGUAAAGUUCCACAGAUGAAUGUAACGGUGUAUGUACGUCCUUAGAAUUGCCACUGUUUUGAAAGGGCUCAGCCCCUUGGCAGCUAACUUAAGCAGUGAACUAAGGUUUGGAAACUGGGCAUUCCACUGCCCAUACAGGGCAGGCCACAGUGAUUCAUUAACAAACAGACAAACUUACUAGAAGACAGAGGAAUAGCCUGCGCUUUAAAACAUUAUAAAAGAAACACUUUACCUCUGCUCUUCCCCCUGUGUAUGUACAGUAGUGAUAAGAAGGUGUCAUUUAGUAAUUCGUUUUAAUUAGCGUUUUGAUAAUUGUUAAGUCUGGAUGAACAAUCCAGAAUGUUGUUUGGCAAGAGCGUGUACACCAAGAGCUAUAUCCUGACUCUUCUAACCAUCACACAUAUGGGAAUGAAGGCUAAAGAGGAAAGCACAACUGUGUCCUAUCGAUAUGUUUGUUUGUUUAAUAACAACAAGAAAAAAAAAAAGGCCUCCUUCAGAUUUUUCUAAGGGAAGGAUAAACAACCAUCUCCAAGACUGUCAAUUGUAGAUGUCAAAGAUAAUACUUUAAAUCCUGUCACUGGACAGGAUUUAAGAGUGUCUUCUCCUUUUCCUGGUGUUUCAUAUUUUCUUGUGAUAAAUACUGCUUUGGCUCCUUCUGUAGCUGCCCUUUCUCAGUAAACUCGGUAGGCUGCCUAGGCAUUUUCUACAAAGUUUGGGUUACAGUUGCAGAAGUGGGUCAUGAUUACCUUACAUGGGUCUAUUUUUCUACACACCAACUCAUUUUCUGACGUGUCAGAUUGAGUACCUUAUUUUCUCUGUCAUCCUUUCUCCUUUGUACCGCUGCCAUUUGUUAGUACUGUGGCUUGUUCCACUGUGGGAAUAAUUGACUGAUUUUUGAGUCUUAAUGCUUGCUUUUUAAAAAAAAUAAAAUACAGACAUUAAGCAUUCAGAUUUAUCUUUUUUCAUUUUUUUUUUUUUUUUUUAAUCCAAGCUCCAGAACAAAAAAAGAAGGGAAGUUUUAUUAAUUAAUUACUUCAUCAGAGUUGUGUGUGUUUUGUGUUCUGUUCAUAUAAUUUCCUCCCCUUGAAGGGAAAAGUUGUUGAAACUGGAGCCAGGGAUAAAAACUGAAAUGCGAUGUUAAGACUAGGGUUUCUUGUUUGCUAGUGGUAAAAUGAAUCUCUCUCUUUUAUUAUGGCUAUCCAUCAUCACAGUUAUUUUUCUUGGGCUACCAAUUGUAAAAUGUUAGUAGAGAACCUGUAGCCCUAUGGUGGAAUUUAUACAGCACCUCACGGUGCUGUGUUAAAAGGUUUUCCCUUACUCAUUGGGACCCAGGAAACCUGAAGUCCAAAUCCCUUCGCACACAUACCGUGGUAGGAUAUUUUUCUGAACUUGGUCCUAUAGUGCAAUAGAUUUUUCUCUUCAAAGAGAACAAAUGUCAACUUGUACAGUAUUCAACCUGAAUAUAAUAAGAAAAUAAUUUGAAAUGUUCUUUGGACAUUUUAUCUUUGUUUUUUAUCCAGAGGCUCCUUAAUCUAGUGUCUCGAAAAAUGUUACUGUUUGUUUAGGGAUGUGAUCUGUGAAGCUGAAUAUUGAGGCUUUAGGUUGUGACUUUAUCGAUGUCACUAUAUUAUUGUUCACUUACUUACCAGUCUUGUGGAAAAAAAAAAAAA